rnacentral:rRNA from 1 species
CCCCUAGAUGUUCUGGGCCGCACGCGCGCUACACUGAACAGUUCAACAAGUCUUAACCUUGGCCGAUAGGUCUGGGUAAUCUUUGAACGCUGUUCGUGAUUGGGAUAGACCUUUGCAAUUAUGGGUCUUCAACGAGGAAUUCCUAGUAAACGCAAGUCAUCAGCUUGCAUUGAUUACGUCCCUGCCCUUUGUACACACCGCCCGUCGCUACUACCGAUUGAACGUUUUAGUGAGGUAUUUGGACUGGACCUUCGGAGGUUCGCGCCUCCGUUGCUGUUCGGGAAGACUCCCAAACUUGAGCGUUUAGAGGAAGUAAAAGUCGUAACA